UACGUAGGGAGCAAGCGUUGUCCGGAAUCAUUGGGCGUAAAGCGCGCGUAGGUGGCUUCAUAAGUCCGCUGUGAAAGUCAAAGGCUCAACCUUUGAAAGCCGGUGGAUACUGUGAAGCUAGAGUACGGAAGAGGCGAGUGGAAUUCCUGGUGUAGCGGUGGAAUGCGUAGAGAUGUGGAGGAACACCUGUGGCGAAGGCGGCCCCCUGGUUGGAUACUGACGCUGAUACGCGAAAGCGUGGGGAGCAAACAGG
rnacentral:rRNA from 1 species